GGAGCUGUGAUGGCUCCUCUUCAGAAAGGAUGGAGCAGCCAAGCAUAUACUGUGAGUUGUUAUACAAGAAGCUUAAGAAGUUUAUUUCAGAGCUUGUGCUGAGCAGGGCAGACAUGAAGAGCACUGCAGUGUCCAGGCAGGAG
rnacentral:lncRNA from 12 species